rnacentral:rRNA from 1 species
GACAGAGGGUGCAAACGUUGUUCGGAUUUAUUGGGCGUAAAGAGCGUGUAGGCGGUUUGGUAGGUCCGCUGUGAAAACUCGAGGCUCAACUUCGAGACGCCGGUGGAAACCAUCAGACUAGAGUCCGGAAGAGGAGAGUGGAAUUCCUGGUGUAGCGGUGAAAUGCGCAGAUAUCAGGAAGAACACCCGUGGCGAAGGCGGCUCUCUGGAACGCAACUGACGCUGAGACGCGAAAGCGUGGGGAGCAAACAGG